rnacentral:rRNA from 1 species
CCUACGGGCGGCUGCAGUGAGGAAUAUUGGUCAAUGGACGUAAGCCUGAACCAGCCAAGUCGCGUGAAGGAUGAAGGUUCUAUGAAUCGUAAACCGCUUUUAUAAGGGAAUAAAGUGCGAGACGUGUACCGUUUUGUAUGUACCUUAUGAAUAAGGAUCGGCUAACUCCGUGCCAGCAGCCGCGGUAAUACGGAGGAUUCGAGCGUUAUCCGGAUUUAUUGGGUUUAAAGGGUGCGUAGGCGGCCUGUUAAGUCAGCGGUGAAAGUCUGUGGCUCAACCAGAGAAUUGCCGUUGAAACUGGGAGUCUUGAGUAUGUUGGAGGCAGGCGGAAUGCGUGGUGUAGCGGUGAAAUGCUUAGAUAUCACGCAGAACCCCGAUGGCGAAGGCAGCCUGCUAAGCCAUGACUGACGCUGAGGCACGAAAGCGUGGGGAGCAAACAGGAUUAGAUACCCGGGUAGUC